rnacentral:sRNA from 1 species
GCCGGGCACGGUGGUGCACACCUGCAAUCCCAGCAACUCAGGAGGCUGAGGCAGGAGGAUCGAAAGUUCAAAGCCAGCCUCACCAAAAAUGAGGUGCUAAGCAACUCAGUGAGACCCUGUCUCUA